rnacentral:rRNA from 1 species
GACGAACGCUGACGGCGUGCUUAACACAUGCAAGUCGAAGGGAGUGGCGAACGGGUGAGUAACACGUGAGUAACCUGCCCGUUUCUUUGGGAUAAGCCUGGGAAACUGGGUCUAAUACUGGAUGGAUUGGGAUGGGCUCGCGGCUUAUCGGCUUGUUGGGGGGGUGAUGGCUUACCAAGGCUUUGACGGGUAGCCGGCCUGAGAGGGUGGUCGGUCACACGGUGACUGAGAUACGGCCCAGACUCCUACGGGAGGCAGCAGUGUGGGAUAUUGCACAAUGGACGAAAGUCUUAUGCAGCGACGUCGUUGGGGGGCUGAAGGCCUUCGGGUUGUAAACUCCUUUCGCCCGCGGAAUGUUAGUGGGUAAAGAAGCGCCGGCUAACUACGUGCCAGCAGCCGCGGUAAUUC